AAUCAACGCUGGCGGCGUGCCUAACACAUGCAAGUCGAACGAGAAAGUGGAGCAAUCCAUGAGUACAGUGGCGUACGGGUGAGUAACACGUGACUAACCUACCCUCGAGUGGGGAAUAACCUCGGGAAACCGGGGCUAACACCGCAUAAUAUCUACGGAUCAAAUGCGAAAGCAGCUUGAGGAGGGGUCGCGGCCGAUUAGCUAGUUGGUGAGGUAAUGGCUCACCAAGGCAAUGAUCGGUAGCCGGCCUGAGAGGGCGCACGGCCACACUGGAACU
rnacentral:rRNA from 1 species